GAUGAACGCUGGCGGCGUGCCUAAUACAUGCAAGUCGAGCGAACGGACGAGAAGCUUGCUUCUCUGAUGUUAGCGGCGGACGGGUGAGUAACACGUGGAUAACCUACCUAUAAGACUGGGAUAACUUCGGGAAACCGGAGCUAAUACCGGAUAAUAUUUUGAACCGCAUGGUUCAAAAGUGAAAGACGGUCUUGCUGUCACUUAUAGAUGGAUCCGCGCUGCAUUAGCUAGUUGGUAAGGUAACGGCUUACCAAGGCAACGAUGCAUAGCCGACCUGAGAGGGUGAUCGGCCACACUGGAACUGAGACACGGUCCAGACUCCUACGGGAGGCAGCAGUAGGGAAUCUUCCGCAAUGGGCGAAAGCCUGACGGAGCAACGCCGCGUGAGUGAUGAAGGUCUUCGGAUCGUAAAACUCUGUUAUUAGGGAAGAACAUAUGUGUAAGUAACUGUGCACAUCUUGACGGUACCUAAUCAGAAAGCCACGGCUAACUACGUGCCAGCAGCCGCGGUAAUACGUAGGUGGCAAGCGUUAUCCGGAAUUAUUGGGCGUAAAGCGCGCGUAGGCGGUUUUUUAAGUCUGAUGUGAAAGCCCACGGCUCAACCGUGGAGGGUCAUUGGAAACUGGAAAACUUGAGUGCAGAAGAGGAAAGUGGAAUUCCAUGUGUAGCGGUGAAAUGCGCAGAGAUAUGGAGGAACACCAGUGGCGAAGGCGACUUUCUGGUCUGUAACUGACGCUGAUGUGCGAAAGCGUGGGGAUCAAACAGGAUUAGAUACCCCGGUAGUCCACGCCGUAAACGAUGAGUGCUAAGUGUUAGGGGGUUUCCGCCCCUUAGUGCUGCAGCUAACGCAUUAAGCACUCCGCCUGGGGAGUACGACCGCAAGGUUGGAACUCAAAGGAAUUGACGGGGACCCGCACAAGCGGUGGAGCAUGUGGUUUAAUUCGAAGCAACGCGAAGAACCUUACCAAAUCUUGACAUCCUUUGACAACUCUAGAGAUAGAGCCUUCCCCUUCGGGGGACAAAGUGACAGGUGGUGCAUGGUUGUCGUCAGCUCGUGUCGUGAGAUGUUGGGUUAAGUCCCGCAACGAGCGCAACCCUUAAGCUUAGUUGCCAUCAUUAAGUUGGGCACUCUAAGUUGACUGCCGGUGACAAACCGGAGGAAGGUGGGGAUGACGUCAAAUCAUCAUGCCCCUUAUGAUUUGGGCUACACACGUGCUACAAUGGACAAUACAAAGGGCAGCGAAACCGCGAGGUCAAGCAAAUCCCAUAAAGUUGUUCUCAGUUCGGAUUGUAGUCUGCAACUCGACUACAUGAAGCUGGAAUCGCUAGUAAUCGUAGAUCAGCGUGCUACGGUGAAUACGUUCCCGGGUCU
rnacentral:rRNA from 1 species